UACGAAGGGGGCUAGCGUUGUUCGGAAUCAUUGGGCGUAAAGGGCGUGUAGGCGGUUUGCUAAGUCAUGUGUGAAAUCCCUCGGCUCAACCGGGGAACGACGCAUGAAACUGGCAAGCUAGAGUACCAAAGAGGGGGGUGGAAUUCCCGGUGUAGCGGUGAAAUGCGUAGAGAUCCGGAGGAACACCAGUGGCGAAGGCGACACGCUGGGCCGUACCUGACACUGAUGCGCGACAGCAUGGGGAGCAAACGAGGAUUAGAUACCCU
rnacentral:rRNA from 1 species